GAGGGUGCGGUGGGUGCGGCUCUGGGGUGGGCAGGAGCCCACACCCAGCACCGGUGCCUCCUGGGUUGGACCUGCUUCUCCUGCCCUGGUUUCCCAUCACACACAGGUGUCAGUGAUGCCCAAAGCUACUUCCUGAGCAGUGAACUGGGAGGAGGCCAAAAGGAACAAAAAGACUCAGAAAAAAGAAGAGGAGGAAGUGGUGAGCGAAAGGGGAACUGUCCCACCUUCGCCAUAAGGCAGCCCCGUCGCAUCCCUGCCCAGCUGUGGGGCUUCUGUGCCAGGCUUCCUUACGCCCCUGGCUCUCACUCUCCUGGGUUUGUAAAAUGGAGUGAGGAUAAUGAGGGGGAGCAGUCAAUGAAUCUCACAGAUUCGGGGAAGCUUGAUUUGCCGGGCUGUGGAAGGACACAGAGAAAUGUGUGCUGCACGGGAAAGCCAGGAUGCAGAAGUCUUUCCAGGAGACACACCUGGGAACCCCUCACCCCCAGCCCGCAGUGCCCCAUUUGCUUCCUCCUGCUCCCCUGCCUUGUAGUCCUUUCCAGCUCCCUCACCAGCACCUGUGACCCUGCCCACUCUGCUCCAGGAGGCAGCUUAGCUCAGGAUGCAGCACUGGGCUUUGAGGACCCUGCUAUGGUUUGUAUAUGUGUCCCCUAAAGCCCAUGUGGGAAAGGCUGAGUCCCCAACCUUCAAUGGAACCUUUAAGAGGAAGAGCCUCAUGCAAUAAGAUUCGGUGAUUUGUUAAAGGAGAUUGUGGAACCCUAACCCCUUCCUCCCCUCCUCCCUCUCUGUUUCCUGGCCUCCAUGAGGUGAGCAGCCUCCUCUACCGAAGACAUCCACCAUGAAGUUCUGCCUCCCACCGACCCAAAGCCAGUGACCAACCAGCCAUGGACUGAGACCUCAGGAAUCAUGAGGCUACAUGAACCUUCCCCCCCCUGAAAGUGUAUUUGCCUCAGGUAUUUGUUGCAGUAAUGGAAAGCUGACUAACACAUGAACCAACAAC
rnacentral:lncRNA from 1 species